rnacentral:misc_RNA from 1 species
GAUGAAGAACGUAGCGAAAUGCGAUAAUUAAUGUGAAUUGCAGAAUUCCGUGAAUCAUCGAGUCUUUGAACGCACAUUGCGCCUCAUGGCAUUCCGUGAGGCAUGCCCAUCUCAGCGUUAGAAAAUAUUCUCAAAUUUUAGUUUUGUGCUAAAAUUUGGAUCAUGUCAAGGAAGCUAUUACUAUUAUUGUGAUCGCUCUUUGGAAAUUGAUAGGUCUUUGAGUUGCUACUCAUAGAACGUGAUGAAUCUUUCUUCGUUCUAUUGUAAUUCACUCUGGUAGUCCUAAAACUUGUAUGCCUGUGGCAUAUCUUGUAAUUCGACCUGAGAUUGGGUAGGGAUACCCGCUGAACUUAAGCAUAUCAAUAAGCGGAGGA